AUCUUCAGGGAUGGGUGAAAUUCCCUACCGGCGGUACAGCCCGCGAGCUCGAAAGAGCAGAUCCGGUUCGAUUCCGGAGCCGACAGUAUAGUCUGGAUGGGAGAAGAU
rnacentral:ncRNA from 1 species